UUCCGACAGUCCACCGUCUGACACUCAGACCCCGUUUCGAUUUUUUCUAAUAUUUAUUUCAAAAUACAUGGAUUUUUGCCAUUAAGUACAUAUGUGUCGAUUUUCCUGAUUGCAGUGAGAAGAGAGAUAAAGCUCGUCCUUGCAGUGCCCCAAAAGUGAUAGGUAAACAAAUAACAUCGGGAAUCAAAUCAAAUAAGUUUCCAACAAAAGGACAAGCUUAAUAUAUUGAUUUCUGAAAUCCUCUCGGUUGUGGUAAGGUCAGAUCUUCGCCGACAAUUUUCGUCUAACAGCACCGUGUUUUAGAUUCCUCAGGGUGACGAUAUCGGUCACUUGAUCUGUGUUGGCUGCCGAAAACAGUUCAGAGUGCGCUGGAAAACUAAUUAGCUGAUUUUGGGGAGAAAGGAACAUGCGUAGCAAAGAGGUUUGUAACCAUCAGAGGAGGAUUGAAUAAAACUUGAAGGUGCACAAAAUGGCAGUACAUUUAAAGGAGCAAAUGCUAAUAGAAGAUUUGAUUAGCCAAAAGCAGCAUGUCCAAAAGAAUGAUGAACCAGCAAACAAUUAUGAAAGGGUAAAUGUCUCUGAUCAAGCCGAAAACAAUUUCAAUGAACCAGAAACCAGCAAUACUGAACCGGGAGCACACGAUAUAUUCGAGGUUGAGCUUGUGAAAAUUGAGCCCAGGGAUUCAUUCGGAGAGCAAGAAGUGAAUAUUGAAAGGAAUAAUACGAAACAUCGGGCCGCAAAACCGAACAACCAAACAAGCUCUGCAGGGUUUGAAUGCGACAUUUGCCACAAGAUUUAUAAAACUCGGAGAAUUUUAUCGGCUCAUAAGUAUACCAUUCAUUUUCCGACGUAUAUUGAAUGUCACAAGUGCAACCAACCAUUUCCUUCUUCGACUCGUCUGGCACAUCACAUUUACAUAGUGCACAAGGCCGAAAAAAAACAUGCUUGCGAUGAGUGUGGAGCUGAGUUUGUUACUAGAUUCAAUUUGACCAGACACGUGAAGUCGCACGCCAAACAAUCUGUUCGGAAGCAUGGACGGAAAUGGGAGCUUCCGCGGAGGAAUGCCGGUGGCAGAAAACAGAAGCAUGACAUCAUUCUAUGAUGCUUCUGAACCGAACUUCAUCAAACAGGCGGUGUAACCUACCAUACAGAACGAUUUCUAAACCUUAUGGACACCAUUAGAAAGAAUAAACUGAUUUGAUAUAAUUUUCAAGAAUUAUGUAAACACAAAUUAAUACUAACUUAAACUUACAACGAUGCACAGUGCGUCGACUCAAAGACAAAAAUAAAUUUUGAAAAAUUGUUUUCUAGCAUAUUCUGCACUUAAAAGUA